UGAAGGUGUGAGAGGGAUUUGGUCCUUGGUUGUUCCCUUAGCCUCACGUGCCACCAGUUGUGGGGGCUCUCCCCCUAGCAUACAGCUCCCUUGGCUCCUGCUGCAUCAGCACUCCCUGUGCACUGGGCCCAGCCCCCUUCUGUUGCCAUUCGUUAUUUCUGAUCCAAUAAAUAACAGUACAGUGAGGGACUGAUUUAGAUUGUGGUAGGAGCCCUAAUGUCAGGAAAGAAGGAGAAGCGGAGAGUCUCUGCAGAGGGAGAGCACUGGGCUGCGUGAUGGAAGCACAGAGGGUUGGCUGCAAACACCUGGGGAUAAACCAUGCUGGCAUCUCAGAGUGCAGCAGCCUGGCGGAUCCCAGGUGGAGAGGAGGAGUUCUGCAAGGCCUUUGUAGGCUUCACUACAGGACUCCUGUCCCACAGUUCUGUUUGAGAGCCAUACCUUGAGCAGUAACAAAUUGACCUGAGCUGCUCUGCUCACCCUUUGCUCUGUCUCUGCAGGCUGCAGUGCUCUGGCAGAAGCCCAUGAGAGGCACCCAGUGACUGCUCCAGGGGACUGCAGCAGCCGUCCCAUUGCCACGGACGUCCAGUGCUCACAUGAGUGGCAAGAGUAGGUGCAGAAGGAGUUAAACAGUGCUGGGAAAAUUGGUAUUUAAUCCAGUACUGUCCCUUCUAGCAAACCUAGAUGGGAAAAUGCCUCCCUGUUGGAAACGGUGCUUCUCAGAAAUGGAAAUGCAGGGUGGCUGGGGAUUAGGGUGCCUAUCGCUGGAAAUGGGUUUCUUAUCGUCUCUCUGUGUUGAAUUGGUGGGACAGCCUCUGAAAAUUGAAUUGCCUUCCCUGUUUCUGUCUCUGCCAUUGCAUCCCUCCUGUGCUGUAGCUUUGCACUUGCUUUCCUGCCUCUGGUCUCCCUUGUCCCUACGCUCAGCAGAGCAGUGUCUGUCUGCAAGGCGUUCGUGUCUGUGGAGAGGGACGGUGCUGCAGUGGGCUGUGGGCAGGGCUGGCUGCACUGGGAGGGCUUUGUCCAUGGGACUCCCAAGGCUGGGAUGCCAACCCUUUCCACGCUUCCUUCCAACCCUGCAAGGACAGCAGAGGCAAAGCGUGAUAGGGGGCAGCAUGCGAGGAGGCUUGGAAUGAUCAGAGGACAUCAGGCACAACUGGAAAGGAGCACUGGUGGUGAGGAGCUGGGGGAGAGACCAGUCUGAACAUGCAGCAGGAAAGAGACUGACUUCUCAUGAGACAAGAAGCAGCCUUGAUCCCAGGGCUUUGCUGCACCAUGCAGAGGUGUGGCAUCCCACAUCUUUGGCUGUGACUGCAGUGGCCAUUCCUCCUCUUUCCUGCUUGCAGCUUGUCUGUCUGUGGUGAGAAGCACGCAUGUCACAGGCAUCACACAGAGCUGUCCCGGUGUCACCUGUGGCUACUGAGGGUCACCCAGCUAGGCUGCACCUCACCUGGAUGUGCAUUUUGUCACCCGGGGCUCUCACAGCCCCUCAGGUGUGGUCAUGUGUUUAACAACUAUUAAAACAAUUUCUGUUCCAUUUUGGGCUGAAGCUGAUAAAUCAAGGUGACUUUGGGGAGAGAAAUAAUUCCUUUCCUUAGAUUUGCAUAAUCCUGGCUGGUGAUAUGAUAAUGGUGUUUGUUAAAGACAGGACACAAUAAAUUAAUACUGUUAAGUUGUUGCUGCAAACUACGAAGCAGAUAAUUUAUUGUGGGUGCAAAGGAGAGUGAGUGCUGCAGGCACGGCCAUAGCCUCUGUCCUCAGCUUUCACCACGUGCACCUGGGUUCAGCUCUUGUCCUGCAGCACCACACGUGAGGAGGAGCUGGUGUGAUGCACAGGUAGAGAGGGGUGCUUGGUAGAGGUGCAUUGGAGCCUCACUCAUUCCCUGGGCUGCUGCUGCAGCUCCAGAGCCAUCCUUGCAUGUCAUAUCCCACUGGAAUCCUAAUGCACCAUUUAUCUCUGCAGCUUCACAGCUCUAUUAGAAGGAAGAUGCUGUGUGGGAGCCAGAGCAGGGUUUCAAGCUAAUUGGAUUCUGUGUCUCCGUGGUUUCCCAUGUAGGCAGGCAACAGGGAUUAGUGCAGUGUUUCUGAGGAACAGAGGAGAGUUGAGGAUGACCUGCAUGGGGAUUUCCUCCUGCACAACCCCUGCUGCUAGCAAAGGACUUUUUAAACAGGCUGUUGAGGUGGAAGGGCUGGGAGCAGCAUGUCCUUAAUCUUUGGUAGCGUUGCUGCCUGAAUUUCAUGUUCUCUUCCUAAUUCUUUGAGCCAGGUACCAUUCACUUUCUAGGGAAUAAACCAGCUCAACCAGCCUCCAAGCACAAACAAGCCUGGCGCUGUUCUGGUCUCUCCUGCUAACCCCUUUGUAGGGGAAACCAGAUGGAAAUCAAACUGUCGGUGUCUCCUGAGCACAACUAACCACCUGCCCGAGUUACACUCCUUUGCCUCCCUGCUCCCCUUCCCAAGCCUAGCUGCUGGCUGGAAGCAGUGCACAUCAGAUAUCCAUCCUCCCCGAGUUCCUAGUCUGCCAGGGCAGGAACGGAAUUCACCUCAUUAACAUAGAUUUAUUCCUGUAUAAACAUUUCAUUGCUUUAAUUGCAAACCAGCCAUACUGCAGGCAGUGGUGGCAGUGCCUCCAUUUACACUGAGCAUUGGAGACAGCAGAGUACGUAUGGCACAUGGCUGAGCGCAUACAGGUAGGACGUGCCACGGUGUCUGCAUGCAGAAGUGUGUGCUGUGCAAUGCAGAGUCGGCUGGUCUGGGUUAGUGGCCCUUCUUCCUGGCAGUAGUGAGGCCCUGGGGCCCCAUCCAGCUGAGCACCAGUGCAGGAGGAUGCACCCAGGCAACGGUCUGCUGGACUGACAGCUCUGUAGGUGCAGAGGGGUACCGGUUCCUGACAGCCUGCUGCUGCAUUUCAUGCUCUCUGCUCUCCCCCAUUCUCACCCAAACGUUAAUUUUACGGAUGCCUUUAUAAAUCUCGCCGUUUUUUCCUGUUCAUGGGCU
ensembl:lncRNA